UAAUUGUAGCUGGUGGAGGUCUGAUACAUGGUCGUGAUUGCUCUGGUUGGGAUAUCCGCUCCAUAGAAUCUUCCAUUCACAAGUUUGAACAAAGAUAAUAGAGGAGUGUGGAUCUCAGGAGAUGUUUUCAUAUAGAGGGAUUGAUGUAUGUACUUCAGGUGGGCAAUUUUGAUUACUUAUUGCAGUGACGCCUCAGACAUGAAAAUGGAUAUAUUUGUUGACGUUUUCACAGAGCAUCACCAUUGGCUAUCACUCUCAGAUGCUAAUGAUGCACUUUUGAUUGGCCAGUCAGCUGCAUGUGUUCUCUCUUGGACAGUGGGACGGAAGGGACCUCGGCGAGUCUCAGUUUUGCUGGCACAUUCCUCUACGUGGGACUGUCAAAUAGAGAAGAGAGUGUUGACUUGACAUGGACUGGACGCCAUGCAGCGGUACCCAUGAGAAGGCUGGUGGCUGGCGAGGGUCGUCGGUAUUGGUCUUGACAAGCGGCCGGUCUCGAUCACUUUAAACAGUGCCUCAGCACAGGACACCCAGGCACUGGAGAGCUCCAAGGAGCGGCAGCAGCAUACACGCAGGCCGCUUCACUGCACGCAUGGCAGGCAUCACCAUUAAAGAACACUUCACUAUCACCCUCCAAUGAGCGUUGUUUAGACCGCUUAGCAAGUACUACAUGUUACAUCUAGGGAACGGUUACAGUACUGUGGAAAAAUCAAUUUGUACUCCCCCUUUAGUUUUGUUUAUCUUUUCUCAAAAAAAAAAUAAUAAUAAUUCAGAUUUUUUUCCUCAAGAGAAAGUUAUGUGUUGUAGGUGAUACUAACAGUAGUUUUUCUGUUUAUUAUUAAGUGAAAUUUAUUUCUAAAGUGAUAUCAUUGUUUUACAAGUUGUUGAAAGCAUUGCAUUAAAGAUCAUGAGGUACGUUGUUGUUUGUACAGAUGGGCCAUGUUGAUGCUUUCACGCACGUACACAUUAACAAAAUUAAAUAAAAAAAAUUUGUGGUAUCUAUUUCUUAGUUUUUAGAUUGUCUGAUUGAAAAGAUUGUAACAAGGGGAUAUGUAUAGGAUAUGUCUGUUUAUGUAUUUGUAUUUGUAUUUGUGAUAUGAAUUCAUACACAUACGAAACCAAGACAAGCAUGUAAUGUGUAUUCUCAAGUCUGAUCACUUGAUGGCAUGUUUGAUUUUAGGGUGUCAUGUAAUGCAGUACAUCAAGAUGGCAUGAGAUACUUCAAGGUUGGCUGCACACUGCUGCUGCUGUUGUUGUUGUUGUUUACUAAACUAAGUAUGGAUUAUCUUGAUAUCUUAGGAGUGGAAGUUAUUUUGCAAUUCAAUCUUUAUUGAAAAUAAAAGUAGUCCUCUAGAAUCUUUUUGAACUAGUGUAUGUUGUAACGCUGGGGAAGUGUUUGUGCUCCUGAUGUGAAUGUUAACUCAGGUUUAGUAGUUCACCAAAUCACAAGUCACUUAAGUGAAAUGUAU